rnacentral:rRNA from 1 species
GAUGAACGCUGGCGGCGUGCCUAACACAUGCAAGUCGUACGAGCUCGAUCUUCGGAACGGGUUAGUGGCGCACGGGUGAGUAACACGUAGGUGACCUACCCCAGAGUGGGGGAUAACUUCUCGAAAGAGAGGCUAAUACCGCAUACACUCGGUCAUUCAUUUGGCCGAGCAAAGCUCCGGCGCUUUGGGACGGGCCUGCGUCCGAUUAGCUAGUUGGUAGGGUAAUGGCUUACCAAGGCUUUGAUCGGUAGCUGGUCUGAGAGGACGAUCAGCCACACUGGCACUGACACACGGGCCAGACUCCUACGGGAGGCAGCAGUGAGGAAUAUUGGGCAAUGGGCGAAAGCCUGACCCAGCAACGCCGCGUGAGGGAUGAAGGCCUUCGGGUUGUAAACCUCUUUCUGGAGAAGAGACAAGGACGGUAUCCCAGGAAUAAGUACUCGGCUAACUACGUGCCAGCAGCCGCGGU